GCGCUGCGGCUCGGGCUCUGGCCGGCUCCUGAGUGGGAGUUGGUGCUGUGAUGUCCAGCUGGGGACUAGAAACCUCGGAUCGAACGCAGAGUGGGUGGGGAGAGCGGGAACGGAAUGAGGAAAGGCUGUGCAGAGCUGUUUAGAAAAAAAAAAUGAUUAGCAGAAAACAUGGGUGGGUCCUUAGGGGUGUUGGCGGGGUUCAGCGGGGACGGUGGCCAGCGCUGGGUUGGCGUGGUGGUUUUGAUCUUGUGCAGUUCACCGCGACUGCUGAGGUACUUGGCCAUUCUUAAAAGUGUGUUUUCCCAAGGCGAACGCAGCCAGGCGUUAAAACUAAACAUUUGUCCGUGACGCGCACGUUGCCAGGGGUCGAAUUAGAAGGCGCUUUAAUUCUGCUCACGCCUUGGCUGAUGUGCGAAUGAAAGCAGUCCUCGGCUGGUUUAUACAAUAGCCAGAAGCAUUGUCUUCCUAUUUCAGAAGAGAAAAGCAACGUGGCGCCCAGCCUUGGAGGGCCCCGGCUUUACCCACCUCCCACCGUGUGGCUCGCCAUGCCUCCGAAUUGGCUGAGCACAGCAGCCUCCGGGAAGCACUGGCAGCUCCGUUGCUCCAUUAGCUCAACUGGUGGGAAUUUAUUCAGCAAAACUACUUCUAGAAACUGAAUGUGUUAAAUAUAAUCUGAACUUAUUUGAUCAUGUUUUUCUUUGAAUUUUAUCAAGCUGAUGUAUUAAUUGAUGGAGGUUCUCCUUACCCCCCAAAAUUUACAGUGCUAUCUUCCCAUGUGCUUAAGAAGGAUUUACCUGGAAAUUAAUAAAACAGGGAUUCC
rnacentral:lncRNA from 1 species